GACGAACGCUGGCGGCGUGCUUAACACAUGCAAGUCGAACGGUGAAGCGCCUUCCUUUUUGGUGGGUGUGGAUGAGUGGCGAACGGGUGAGUAACACGUGAGUAACCUGCCCCCUUCUUCUGGAUAACCGCAUGAAAGUGUGGCUAAUACGGGAUAUUCUGGGUCUGUCGCAUGAUGGGUCUGGGAAAGAUAUUGUUUCGGUGGGGGAUGGGCUCGCGGCCUAUCAGCUUGUUGGUGGGGUGAUGGCCUACCAAGGCGGUGACGGGUAGCCGGCCUGGGAGGGGGGGCGGCUACAUGGGGGUGGGAAGCGGGACCGAACUCUUAGGGGGGGGAGAGGGGGGGAAUAUGGAAGAGGGGGGAGAGGGUUGGUGCAGGACCGCCGGGUGGGGGGUGGGGGCCUUCGUGUGGGGACCCUUUUUGGGCAGGGAAGGGGGCCGGCCUCGUUUGUGGGUGGGUUGGCGGUGGUUGGAAAAGGAGGGGCGACGAACUACAU
rnacentral:rRNA from 1 species